UCAACAAACAACAUUUAUUUCUCGAAAUAAAACCGAUAUUGAGCAUGUUUAUUCUACUGACACUAUACUAAAUCCCUACAAUCCAUACAUAUAGACGAAACCUUAAACCAUUCAUAUCAGCUUGACUAAUAAGAAUGUUCUGCUUAUUUACAAAUGAACUUUAAGGCAAAAAUUUCAACAACUAAGAAUUAUAUGACAAAUGGUUAUAUAUGCUAGGAAUCAAUCAGGGAGCUGUAGCUAGAAUAUAACAUGUAAAAGGCAAAUCGACCUGACACAAGCUGUGGCCCAGCAAUGUGAUUUCAAAUUCUUCUAAUCUCAUAUAUCCAUGAGGUGCAGGAAAGUACCUGAAAUUUGAAGAAAGGGAAGGUAAGAGGUGAAACAGUAAUAAACAGCAGCAAUAGUAGAACCCCAGCAAUCAAAGAGCAGACCAACAGAACGAUUCUUAACUAAAAAAUGAAGUACAAAUUAAAAAAAGACUCAAUGGAACAGUGUUUUCUACAGAGUUUACAUCUGUUUUUUUUUAUUUUCAGGAUUUCUUGGCUCUUCAGUAUUUUUUAGUAUUUUUCAGAAUGUCCUCCCUUGUCUCUCUUUUGACUCUUUCUUCUAUAUCUAUGUUUUUUUAGUCUAUUCAGCUCCCCCUUUUUCUGUCCUCAACAGCCCUUGAAAUAGGCAUUAAGUUAGUGUUCUCUCCACUAUCAAUUCACCUUUUCAUUUUUAAACCAUCCACUAGCUUAGUGCUUUCUUAAUUUAAACAGCUAUUGCAAUCCCAACCCUACCACUAUUAAAAGCUUCCUAAAGUUAGUUAGGUAGAUAAUCUCUUUUAUUAAACAAUUCUUAAUUUUCAACCUUUUAACUAAAGUGUUGCUUUUGAUUGUUCAAUUCCUAAGCCUAAAAUUAUUGUAAGGCUAAAAUUAUGGACAUGGACUUUUAGAGGGCAUGAUGUGGCUUAAUCAUAGCUAUUGGACCAACAAUUCUAAUGGGCUGCACACAUGAGGGAUCGAGCAAUCCACCAGAAAAAUGAUUAAGAACCAAAGAAUUGUGACCCAUUACCAAGACUUUAUUAAUCCAUCCUUGUUUAAGGAAAAGAUAGGAAAUACUCAAACUUCUACUCACAUUCAUUAAUAUACAACUUGAAAUUUAAAUGGCAAAGAGCUAACAACAAACAUACUUUCACAUUUAUCAACAGUAACAAACUGAAACGCAUCAGCUUUUGGUCAUGAUACUUCUGCAAAAUUUCCCAUUACAAUACCUCUAAAACAGCAUGAAAUCCCUACAAAUCCAACAUCAAAUCCAAUAGCAAGGAAUUAAUCCGCAAACUUACUUCCUACACAUAAUGGGUAUCCAAUUAUCCAGUUUUUCAAUUAUCAAAUACACCCAUAACUGAAUGAACAUCAUGCCUAUCACCACAAAAUUCAAGCAACAAAUUAAAAAUGGAAAAUAGAUAAACCUGAAUUGCUUUCCAAUGUACUUGAAUCUCCGACAAUUACCAUUUAAUAAGAAUUCCAACGAUUGAACUCGAAAGGAAAGCUUAAUAUAGCAGCAACAGAAUCGAACAUGUACCGCGAAUCUGCCCGGAUUGAACCUCGGACAGUGACUUCGAAUCAAGCCCAAAAAUCUAACUCAACAGCUUUUAAUCGUGCCUCAACCAAAGGUGGACGAUGACCUCAAGCGGACUUCGUAGGAACUAAUGGAAACAGUCACUAAACUCAAUCGAAAAAAUGGAGAAUCAUCGGAAAAUAUACUAAACGAGCUCUUGAUUGAUGGAUUUUACUGGUGGUUAUGAGGUUGGAGAAGAAGAAGAUGAACGAUGGGGUGUUGUGUUUCGCUGGUCUCUAGCGUUCUCUGCUGGAGAAGACAAAGAUAGGGGAGGGUCCCUCUUCUGUUUGUGUGACUGAUUCUAGCGAGUUAGUAAAGCAGGGUGGUGUGAGGUCCGGCGACUUGGGGUGGGGUGUGUGAAGGAGAUGGAAAGCGAGGGGUUGGGGUUUUCUCCUGUUGCGGCUGAUUUUCUUCUUAGGAUUCUAGGUUAGAAUUUUAGGUGGGGAAAAAUGGGGCUGGUCUUG
rnacentral:lncRNA from 1 species